GAUGAACGCUGGCGGCGUGCCUAAUACAUGCAAGUCGAGCGAACAGACGAGGAGCUUGCUCCUCUGAUGUUAGCGGCGGACGGGUGAGUAACACGUGGAUAACCUACCUAUAAGACUGGGAUAAUUUCGGGAAACCGGAGCUAAUACCGGAUAACAUGUUGAACCGCAUGGUGCAAUAGUGAAAGACGGUCUUGCUGUCACUUAUAGAUGGAUCCGCGCCGCUUUAGCUAGUUGGUAAGGUAACGGCUUACCAAGGCAACGAGGCGUAGCCGACCGGUGGGGGGGAUCGGCCACAUGGGAGCGGGACCACGGUCAAGGCUCCUACGGGAGGCAGCAGUAGGGAAUCUUACGCAGUGGGCGGAAACCUUACAGAACAGCGCCGCGUGAGUGGAGAAAGCCCUCGGAGCGGAAAACUCUGUUUUGAGGUGAAAACAAAUGUGUAAGUAACUAUGCACGUCUUCACGGUACCUAAUCAGAAAGCCACGGCUAACUACGUG
rnacentral:rRNA from 1 species